rnacentral:misc_RNA from 1 species
AACGCACCUUGCGCUCCUUGGUAUUCCGAGGAGCAUGCCUGUUUGAGUGUCAUGGUAUUCUCAAUUCACCAAGUCUUUUGUAAGACUUUGGUGAUAUUGGACUUGGAGGUUCUUGCUGGCAUCUUGCUUGAAACCAGCUCCUCUUAAAUGCAUUAGUGUGAAUGGUCACUUCAUACUCAGUGUGAUAAUUCUUUGCACUGUGUUUGGGUGUUAUAUAUUCAUGCUUCUAAUUGUCGCGAGACAUUACUUUGACUUCUGACCUCAAAUCAGGUAGGACUACCCGCUGAACUUAA